rnacentral:misc_RNA from 1 species
CCUUUCGCGAACCCUAGUUCUUCAACCUUCCUCCCUGCUGACCUCCACUCAGCUGACCCUCUCACUCUCACGCUCUCAUACUCUCACUCUCAUACUUCCACUCAGCGGACCCCGAUGUGAUUCCGGCGUUGGUGGAAAUGGUGAAAGAAGAAACAACUUUUGGAAAAAACAAUUUCGUGGUUGCAAUCUUCGGACUUCUCUUGCGUCGGAAAAACCACGUGAUUGUGUUAUCGACGGGUGCGGUUUCUGUUCUUGUUAAUACGUUAGCUUCU